ACCCGAUUGCCACCCCUAAAGAGAUUAGGAUACAAAUGCCAUUAGGUAGUUUAAUAGGCUUGGUGCCAAGACACUCAAUGAUAUUUGUCAUAUUAGAGCGAUUGGGGGCCAUAUGAUCUAAAGCUCUACUAUCUAUAACCCCUUUAUUAGAUUCAAGAAAAGUAUGAUUGCAUAAUCACUGACCAAUAAGAUUAGCUUGAGGUAAUUGUUUGUCUUAGUUAAAGAGACUUAUGAGUUGUUUGUAUUGAUUAGUAGUUAACCCAGACAUGAUAGAAGCUUCAGUAUCCUCACUA
rnacentral:lncRNA from 1 species